UACGUAGGGUGCGAGCGUUAAUCGGGAUUACUGGGCGUAAAGCGUGCGCAGGCGGUUGUGUAAGACAGGUGUGAAAAUCCCCGGGCGUUAACCUGGGAACGUGCGCUUGUGACUGCACGGCUAGAGUACGGCAGAGGGGGGUGGGAAUUCCACGUGUAGCAGUGAAAUGCGUAGAUAUGUGGAGGAACACCGAUGGCGAAGGCAGCCCCCU
rnacentral:rRNA from 1 species